CACGUAGGCACCAAGCGUUGUCCGGAUUUAUUGGGCGUAAAGAGCUCGUAGGCGGUUUGUUGCGUCUAUCGUGAAAACCUGCGGCUUAACUGUGGGCUUGCGGUGGAUACGGGCAGACUAGAGUGAUGUAGGGGAGACUGGAAUUCCUGGUGUAGCGGUGAAAUGCGCAGAUAUCAGGAGGAACACCGAUGGCGAAGGCAGGUCUCUGGGCAUUAACUGACGCUGAGGAGCGAAAGCAUGGGGAGCGAACAGG
rnacentral:rRNA from 1 species